GGCAGUGACCAACUCACCCGGAAUGCUCCCGAUCUCAUCAGAUCUCAGAAUGCUAAGCAGGGCUUAUCCUGGAUAGCGCUUGAAUGGGUAGCCACAGUGGACAACCGGGUUGUCAUCAUGU
rnacentral:rRNA from 1 species